UCCCCCCCGCCGCCUCCUCCUCCUGCCGCUGCCGCUGCUUUGGCUGCUGCGUCAUACGCCCCAGAGCCGCCGGGACGGAGGGGCUGGGCCUGGGGACCCCCUGGCCUCCGCCUGCAAGCCCCCCGACGCCCGGACGUGCCCUCUCCGCGCGGGGGACUCGCCUAGGUCUCCUACGUCUGCUCCUGCCCGGCUCCCGGCGGCCCCAGCUGUCACCGCCCCCCCCAGGAUGCAAUGGCGCAGCCCCCCCGGCUGAGCCGUUCUGGUGCCUCCUCACUUUGGGACCCAGCUUCCCCUGCUCCCACCUCUGGCCCCAGACCUCGACUUUGGGAGGGUCAAGAUGUGCUGGCUAGAUGGACUGAUGGGCUGCUAUACUUGGGCACCAUCAAAAAGGUGGACAGUGCUAGGGAGGUGUGUCUGGUCCAGUUUGAGGAUGAUUCACAGUUUCUGGUUCUAUGGAAAGACAUUAGCCCUGCUGCCCUCCCUGGGGAGGAACUCCUCUGUUGUGUCUGUCGCUCUGAGACUGUGGUCCCUGGGAACCGGCUGGUCAGCUGUGAGAAGUGUCGCCAUGCUUAUCACCAGGACUGCCAUGUUCCCAGGGCUCCAGCCCCUGGAGAAGGAGAGGGCACAUCCUGGGUGUGCCGCCAAUGUGUCUUUGCAAUCGCCACCAAGAGGGGUGGUGCCCUGAAGAAGGGCCCCUAUGCCCGGGCCAUGCUGGGUAUGAAGCUGUCUCUGCCAUAUGGACUGAAGGGGCUGGACUGGGAUGCUGGACAUCUGAGCAACCGACAGCAGAGCUACUGUUACUGUGGUGGCCCUGGGGAGUGGAACCUGAAAAUGCUGCAGUGCCGGAGCUGCUUGCAGUGGUUCCAUGAGGCCUGCACCCAGUGUCUGAGCAAGCCCCUCCUCUAUGGGGACAGGUUCUAUGAAUUUGAAUGCUGUGUGUGUCGUGGGGGCCCUGAGAAAGUCCGGAGACUACAGCUUCGCUGGGUGGAUGUGGCCCAUCUUGUCCUCUAUCACCUCAGUGUUUGCUGUAAGAAGAAAUACUUUGAUUUUGAUCGUGAGAUCCUCCCCUUCACUUCUGAAAAUUGGGACAGUUUGCUCCUGGGGGAGCUUUCAGACACCCCCAAAGGAGAACGUUCUUCCAAGCUUCUCUCUGCUCUCAACAGCCACAAGGACCGUUUCAUUUCAGGGAGAGAGAUUAAGAAGAGGAAAUGUUUGUUUGGUCUCCAUGCUCGGAUGCCUCCCCCUGUGGAGCCCCCUACUGGAGAUGGAGCACUCACCAGGGCAGGGCCCUGGGGGAGGGGUCUCACGUCCCCUGGGGAAGCGCCGGAGGCCGGAGCCAGAGCCCCUGAGGAGGAGGCAGAAGGGGAAAGUGGAGGAGCUGGGGCCACCCUCAGCAGUGCGCAAUCAGCCCGAGCCCCGGGAGCAGAGGGAGCGGGCUCAUCUGCAGAGGGCACUGCAGGCCUCAGUGUCUCCGCCACCCCCCAGCCCUAACCAGAGUUACCAGGGCAGCAGCGGUUACAACUUCCGGCCCACAGAUGCCCGCUGCCUGCCCAGCAGCCCCAUCCGGAUGUUUGCUUCCUUCCACCCCUCUGCCAGCACCGCAGGGACCUCUGGGGACGGUGAACCCCCAGACAGGUCACCCCUGGAACUUCACAUUGGUUUCCCCACAGACAUCCCUAAAAGUGCCCCCCACUCGAUGACUGCCUCAUCAUCCUCAGUCUCAUCCCCAUCCCCAGGUCUUCCUAGACGAUCAGCACCCUCUUCUCCUCUGUGCCGUAGUUUGUCUCCUGGGACUGGGGGAGGAGUCCGAGGUGGGGUUGGCUACCUGUCCCGAGGGGACCCUGUCCGGGUCCUUGCUCGGAGAGUACGACCUGAUGGCUCUGUGCAGUACCUGGUUGAGUGGGGGGGAGGCGGCAUCUUCUGAACAGCCUGCCUUUGCGCACCUCCCCAUUCACAUACACCGGCACUUUCAUACCCUGACCUCUGACCUCACCUACAGCUGGGAUGUACCUGGAGAGAUAGGGGGUAGUUCUCCCUGGUGCCCAGGCUGGAAUCCAAGAGUGGGGGGUGGGGAAGAGGCUCUCUUCUCUGCCCUCCUUCAUGAUUCCUGACCCCCCCCAUCUUUCUUCCCAUUUCCUUUGAUGUUAUUUUGUUACAGCUUUUUAAAUAUUUUUUAAAAUUAUUUAACCCCUGGGGGCAGAGACUGAGGAGGGAGGAUGAUAAGGGAACCCGGACUCUGUAUGAUUGAAAUAAAGAGAAAUAAACAAAUCUAGCAGCUCUGA